UACGCAGGGACCAAGCGUUGUUCGGAUUUACUGGGCGUAAAGGGCGCGUAGGCGGCAAUUCAAGUCAUCUGUGAAAUCUCCGGGCUUAACCCGGAACGGUCAGAUGAUACUGCUUUGCUAGAGUGCGGAAGGGGCAAUCGGAAUUCUUGGUGUAGCGGUGAAAUGCGUAGAUAUCUGGAGGAAUACCGGUGGCGAAGGCGGCAUCCUGGACCGGCAUUGACGCUGAAGCGCGAAAGCUAGGGGAGCAAACGGG
rnacentral:rRNA from 1 species